AUUGAACGCUGGCGGCAGGCCUAACACAUGCAAGUCGAACGAGUGGCGGACGGGUGAGUAAUGCCUGGGAAACUGCCUGAUGGAGGGGGAUAACUACUGGAAACCAUAGCUAAUACCGCAUACCAUCGGAUGUCCCCAGAUGGGAUUAGCUAGUAGGUGGGGUAAAGGCUCACCUAGGCGACGAUCCCUAGCUGGUCUGCGAGGAUGACCGGCCACCCUGGAACUGAGACACGGUCCAGACUCCGACGGGAGCGAGCAGUGGGGAAUCGUGCACAAUGGGCGCAAGCCUGAUGCAGCCAUGCCGCGUGUAUGAAGAAGGCCUACGGGUUGUAAAGUACUUUCAGCGGAGAGGGGUUACCCGCAGACGAAGCACCGGCUAACUCCGUGCCAGCAGCCGCGGUAAUUC
rnacentral:rRNA from 1 species